rnacentral:lncRNA from 1 species
UUUUUUUUUUUUUUUUGCAAAUUUGUUUGAAGACUCAUAAUUGUUGUGGGUACGUUUUACAUUGUAUGUUAGAAACUGAAGGUCUUAGAGUGUUUUGUCUACCUCUCUGUUUUGGUUCUGGUUUAAGCAAUAUUACCAUAAUCUUUUAUGCUGAUGGAAUUUGAAAUUUAAAAAAAGGGAAAAUAAAAUGAAAUUAGUUAGCAGCUGUUUCUCCAUGGUUGUUUUAUGCUUGAAGGGUAGUCAUAUGGAGUUCUGUAUGGUGGCUCUUUAUUCUCUCAUUUGGGUUUUGUUAUCUCAUGGUAAACGGCAUAAUGCAGAAACAUAAAUUUAGCUCGUAGACUGCUUGUUAAUGUAUUUUUUUCAGUUUUUAUAAUAUCAAGACAAUUAAAAAAAGCCAGUGAAAUAUGAAUUAAGGAAUAUAGUGUUGGCAACUAGUAAGAGAUUGACUAGAUUUUAUGGCCGCAGAUAGUGGAGGUGCUCGAAUCACAAAGCUCCGAUGGUUUAAAUACUGUACCAUCUGCCCUUCAUGGCUUGUUUUAUCUACUCGUAAAUCUAUCCAUUUGGUGGGUUAAUAGGUACUUUUUUUCGUAAGCUGCAAAGGGGUAGAAGGUAUAUUUUUAAACCAAACGGAGCUUUUGAGUCCCGCAACUAGACUAUCCAGGGCUGAAAAGUUAACUUAAUACUUAUUGCUUAGUUUUAACACUUUGAUUAGUUUUACUAACGCUAAUCAUUUUUAGUUUGAAGUAUGGAGAACUUUAGAUUUUCUGUUGCAUGGUCUGUUCUCAUUGUUGAAUUGUACAAUUUGUCUUUUCUUGCUUUAUUUUUGCAUCAGCUGUCUUUUGUUCUGCUUAGUACACUUGUGAAAGACAUGUAGCUUGAUUACAAUAGUGCUGCCCAGGCAUGUUCUGUAGUAAUUUGUCUUGUGAAUGGUGGUGGUAUUCCUUUGUCAUAUUGCAUUUGAUAUUUAACUGAUCUUGGUGAUUAUAUGGGGAUUCUAGAAAAAAAAAAAGAAAGAGAUUUGUUUGAGUAGCUAAAAACUUAUAAUGGAUUGCUAAUAAUUUCUUUAGUUGUUAACUGGCAACAAAACUGUUGCUGCUUUCAUUUAGGCUUUGAACUUUUGCUUGUGACAAUACACAUGAGCCACUUUUGGUUUCACUGUAUAUCAUCUGCCCAAUUGUUGGGUAAAAAGUAUACUUUUGGUUUCGCUUUUGGUUUUACCCAAUUGUUGGGUAAAAAGUAUAUGUUUGCCAGUCAACAGUAUCUCUACUUGUUUCUAGCUUCCCUCUUUUGUCAAUGAGGAAUUCCUGAAUGAAAUCCUACUGCCAUUCUUAAAUGAAUAGGCCUCUCUUUUCCCUCCAGGUUUCCUUUCAGAUGACUCAACAGAUUCUAGCUUUGUUGCUGAUUUCUCCAUUUGCUCCUACUUUUUCCUUGCAGGAAAUUACUUUAACAGACUUGUUUCCUUCCCUUUUCCUUUUCUUUUAUCUUUUUCUUUUGGAAUCCUUGGUUUCUUCACUGUUAUACUUUCAAUUCCGUUCAUCUGAUGCCCAUUUGUUCUUCAUACUUAAAUAAGAGUCAAUCUGGGUAUACCCUCUUGCUGAAAAGUGUAAUUUCAUAGUAUAGUUGUAUAUGCAUGGUUGUCUUCUACUUCAAGGUAGGAGUUGGGUUUCUUAUGGUUUUGUUUUUUGUCCUGCUUUUCCUUCUUGUAUUUGAUUGUCCAUGCUCAAUAAAUACAUGUUAGAAAUUGAAAUAGAAAGAUAUACUCCUCGGAGGACCUGAUUUUUGAACUCUUCUUGUAGGUUUAGAAUUUAUUUUACCCAUUUUGCUAAAUAUCCAUAUAUCUUUCUGGUUAUUGUGAAAUCAUUUAAAGAAGAAGAAAAAAAAAGAAACUUCCAGACCUCUUAAUAUGGACAUAGGUGAUUUAUUAUUCAUUAACUGGCAAAUAGGAUGAACAGUUAUUACUGUUAAGUUCUGCAAUUUCGACCUGCACGAUCUGUUCUCUCCUAUAGGAGUCCUUAUUUCUUAGAAUUCCUUUACAACUCAAAUUCAGAAGAUACAUUGGAGGCAAAAAAGUAUCAUGAUAUAACUGAUGCUUUGAUAUGACUUAGCAAUUCUCUAUGCUGUUCAUUUGGACUAUUGGACAUUGUUGUGCUUUCUUUGACAUAGCUUCUAAAAGUCAUAUGUCAGGGAAGAACUUUCAGCUUCCUGACAGCCCAGAGUGAUGGGCCUUUCUAUCCAUCAUGACUUGUCUUCUACUCUGAUUUUCCUCUUCAAUUUUCUUCAAAAUUUUUCAUGGACUAAUUACUCUUCCCAAGACCCUGUCUUUUGGUUUAAUGUCUUAGGUAAAGCCCCCCCCCUAUUUAGUAGGAGAUAUCCCAUUUUCCCAUUUAUGGCUUAUCUUCUUGUAAACCUUUGAGUAUUUCCUAGAGACAUAAUGGAAUAGAAUAGCAUAUCACAAGCACUUUUGUACCCCUACAAAGAUUUCAUAUCCAUAUCAGUAGGCCAAAAAUUCACAAAGUGGUAUACAAAGGCUGUGAGUUGGCCUAUGAAGUCCC